GAAAAGAGAAUUACACUGCCUUUUCUUUUUUCAGUGGAGUGUAUGUGCUUUGUUAAGGGGUAAAGGUGAGAAAGGGGAUGAAGAUCUAGAUUAGGGUUUGGCAAGCUUUUUCUGUAAGGGGCCAGAUAGUAGGCUCUCUAGGCCAUAUGGUGUCUUGUCACAAAUGCUCAACUCUGCCUCUGCAGCUUGAAAGCAGCCACAGAUACGAAUCGGUGUGGCUGUGUUCCAAUAAAACUUUAUUUACAAAAACAGAUGACAAGCUGGAUUUGUUCUACAGGCACCUGAUCUAGAAUGCAGUCCCUAGAGUCAAGCAUCUCACUGACAAAGCCCUUGGAUUGGAGUUUGCAUUCAGUUGGUGAAUUUCAAAUAAUCUUGUAUCUCAUGGAAGUGUUUUUGAGGCUUUUCAUUGAUGUGGCAAUGUGGCUUGAAAGGUACCUGGACAGAAGGGAACUGUGACACCCUGGAGGUAAUGCUGGGCAGGGUCAGGCCUGAACCGACAACACAGGUAAAGCUAUUUCAGUACUCCAGAGGAAAGCCAGCAGGUUCCAAAGCAGUGAAUGCAUCAGCGAGGGGAGGCUCUGGACAUUCCAACUCCAUAGCACCCUGGCCAGCAGACCAUCUGUGAAGGAGCCGGGCCCGAAGGACAGCUAAGGAGCAGAAGCUGUGAGAACACUACCAGCACCACAGAGCCACAGGGGCCAGCCAGUGGCAGGGUCACUCUUGGGAAGAUGGUGCUGGUUAAUAAAAGACACAGAGGCCUUGGUACGGUCUGCCUAGUUUUCAAAACAUGGGGAAGUAGACUAACGUAGACAUUGUAAACUGAUACAGUUGACUGAUCCCUGACAUACACUUUAUUAAAGAUAUUUUGAAAGCACUUAGUAAAGAAAGCAGUUUGUCCAUUUUGCAUUGCUGAGGAAAAGCAGAAGUCCAGCUCCUGCGGCCAAACUGUCUGAACAUCAUCUGAGUAGACCUGGCUUUCUGUGGAAGCAAGUCCCUGGAACUGGGACCCUGGAAGUGAUAAGGGACUGGACAGUAUUUCACAGCCACUGACACGUGCUAGAGAGGUGACAAAACCUUCAUCGGGCAAGAGAGAUCACUCUUGAGUGCUGCAUAAACAAGGGAGUAGAAGAGACAAGCCCAACAUGAAGUAUUUAGCUGAGAUAGCAUGAUAAUCCUUGUUCCAUACCCUGGUGAAUGCUUUCCAAUUUGAGAUAGCACGUCAUGAGGAGAUAAAUAGAGAAUGCUGGAGUGAGCAGACAGGCCAGGCUUAUAGAGAGCUGAAAAUGGAUAGUGAUGAUGCAAAAUUCCAGAUGGACUACCCUCUACUCUAGAGCUUUGCAAACUUCUGCUCAAAGAUGGGUAGGAAGAUUCUGUUGGCUGUGCAGUUAAUCUCACUUUACCUAGUAACACAACUUAGAGCUUUGUGCCGACCUAAUUCUUCAUGGAAGACAACAGGUUCCCAUAGUGCCACCUCAACCAUCUCCCAGCAGAGAUUUAGCAAGACAGAGAGAGCACUCAAGUCAAGCAGGUGAAAGCAUAUAUCUCUUGCAUUUAUUUUUCUUUUUUGGACCACUAGUCUUUGUAAGUUUGUUUGUUUUUUGAGACAGAG
rnacentral:lncRNA from 1 species